AAGCAAAAGGGCAGGUGUUGUUUGACAAAGUAUGUGAGCAUCUUAACCUACUAGAAAGGGACUAUUUUGGCUUGUUGUUCCAAGACCACACAGAUCAGAAGAAUUGGCUUGAUUCUUCAAAAGAAAUCAAGAAGCAAGUUCAUAAUUUACCAUGGCAGUUCACCUUUAAUGUGAAGUUUUACCCACCUGACCCUUCACAAUUAACAGAAGAAAUCACCAGGUACUUUCUUUGUUUGCAGCUUCGUCAGGAUAUUGCUUCUGGACGUCUACCAUGUUCUUUUGUGACCCAUGCUCUACUUGGUUCAUAUACUUUACAAGCUGAGUUAGGUGACUUUGAUCCUGAGGAGCAUGAUAGUGGUUACAUACAGGAAUUCCAGUUUGCACCUAACCAGACAAAAGAGUUGGAGGAGAAAGUAGUAGAAUUACACAAGACACACAGGUGCGU